UACAGAGGUCCCGAGCGUUGUUCGGAUUCAUUGGGCGUAAAGGGUGCGUAGGCGGUCUUCUAAGUUUGAUGUGAAAUCCCGGGGCUCAACCCUGGAAUGGCAUUGAAUACUGGAGGACUAGAGUACCGGAGAGGAAACUGGAAUUUACGGUGUAGCAGUGAAAUGCGUAGAGAUCGUAAGGAAGACCAGUGGCGAAGGCGAGUUUCCUGGACGGUAACUGACGCGUGAGGCACGAAGGCCAGGGGAGCAAACGGG
rnacentral:rRNA from 1 species